CACGUAGGCACCAAGCGUUGUUCGGAUUCACUGGGCGUAAAGGGUGCGUAGGUGGUGAGGUAAGUCGGAUGUGAAAUCUCCGGGCUCAACCCGGAAAUGGCAUUGGAAACUACCUUGCUGGAGGAUUUGAGGGGGGAUUGGAAUACUUGGUGUAGCAGUGAAAUGCGUAGAUAUCAAGUGGAACACCAGUGGCGAAGGCGAAUCCCUGGAAAAUACCUGACACUGAGGCACGAAAGCUAGGGGAGCAAACAGG
rnacentral:rRNA from 1 species